rnacentral:rRNA from 1 species
AACGAACGCUGGCGGCAGGCUUAACACAUGCAAGUCGAGCGCCCCGCAAGGGGAGCGGCAGACGGGUGAGUAACGCGUGGGAAUCUACCCAUCCCUACGGAACAACUCCGGGAAACUGGAGCUAAUACCGUAUACGUCCUUCGGGAGAAAGAUUUAUCGGGGAUGGAUGAGCCCGCGUUGGAUUAGCUAGUUGGUGGGGUAAUGGCCUACCAAGGCGACGAUCCAUAGCUGGUCUGAGAGGAUGAUCAGCCACACUGGGACUGAGACACGGCCCAGACUCCUACGGGAGGCAGCAGUGGGGAAUAUUGGACAAUGGGCGCAAGCCUGAUCCAGCCAUGCCGCGUGAGUGAUGAAGGCCCUAGGGUUGUAAAGCUCUUUCACCGGUGAAGAUAAUGACGGUAACCGGAGAAGAAGCCCCGGCUAACUUCGUGCCAGCCGCCGCCGUAAUAC